UUCCCGUCGUGUUCUGGAAGAAUGAAAGUGUAGGCACACUGCCCAUACUGAAUCCGGUUAUAUCUUCUCCCACUGUUUUCUGGACUUCGGCGCUGGUUGCUGCACCCUACCUGUGAGUUCAUCAGGUGAUCUCUCUUUAAUCUUCAGUUCCCCAGCACUUACUAUGCACUUUGGUUGAAGGAAUGAAAGAAUGAAUGAGUGAAUGAGCUAACUUCUUACUGUGCUAUCUGACUACGACAUGACUGACCACAUGUGCUGCAAUAUUGGGAAGUCUUAAUUCCUAGAUGAGAGAAAAAUGCAAAAGUCUCAGUCUCAACUUUUCCUACUUCAGAAAGAACACGUAUUUGAAAGGAAUGGCUGGAGUCACCAGUUGAUGAAUCAAGUACCCAGUGGCACUUGGAUGGUGGCUAAUCGUUGCAGCUAAAGUUGAUAAGUGCCCUUGAUUAAGCAGUGACUCAAAGAUAGAGGACUUUCUGUGAUUUUGGGUUUGUGAUUAAAGAAUUGUGACAACCUCUGUUCAUCAGAGAUGGAAAAAAAAAAGAUCACUCAUAAGUAGUGCAAACUUAGAUGACAAUAUGGAAAUAAGAUCCCUGAAUUUUUAUAAACUCUAUCAUUCUUUCUUUUUUAGUCUCAUUUUCAUACUCUCUGUUAAUCUAAUAUUACUUUCUCUCCUUGCCAGAUUGGAUGAACUGUUUCAUAGCGGUUCAGGUUGAAGAGAGAUUGCUUUAUUUUUGUUUUCAUUUCUUGUUUAUACUAUUAAACAAGAUUAGGUUACACUGGACAAAACAUUUAAUUAUUCUAACUCAGUUUCCUCAUCCAUAAAAUAAGGAUGAUGAUACAGUGCCACUUUUAUAAGGGGGAGGUAAAGAUUAAAGAAGAUAAUGGAUAUAAAGUACUGA